GAAGCCCGCCAGACUGCCGCUGGUGCAAUCUUGGAAACAAGGCACUGGAGGAACGUCCGGACUGCAUAGGGCAGCGUAGCAGCUAACGGCUGUCCACUGACAAGCGGUUUGCGCAAGCAGGUCGCCCUAAGGUGAGGAUCAGAGCAACAGAGACGAGUCAAUGCGGGCUUUGCCUGCAUUGGGUGAAACGGGCAAUCUCUACGCGCAGCAAUACCAAAUAGGCACACGUUGAUGGGGCCCCCGGAGUGUGCGGGUAGGUAGCACCGAGCUGUUGGGUGACCAACAGCCCAGAUUAAUGGCAGUCACAUCCAGGGCAACCUGGGUGCACAGAAUCCGGCUUAUCGGUGGGCUUCACAC
rnacentral:RNase_P_RNA from 1 species